GACGAACGCUGGCGGCGUGCUUAACACAUGCAAGUCGAACGGAAAGGCCCUGCUUUUGUGGGGUGCUCGAGUGGCGAACGGGUGAGUAACACGUGAGUAACCUGCCCUUGACUUUGGGAUAACUUCAGGAAACUGGGGCUAAUACCGGAUAGGAGCUCCUGCUGCAUGGUGGGGGUUGGAAAGUUUCGGCGGUUGGGGAUGGACUCGCGGCUUAUCAGCUUGUUGGUGGGGUAGUGGCUUACCAAGGCUUUGACGGGUAGCCGGCCUGAGAGGGUGACCGGCCACAUUGGGACUGAGAUACGGCCCAGACUCCUACGGGAGGCAGCAGUGGGGAAUAUUGCACAAUGGGCGGAAGCCUGAUGCAGCAACGCCGCGUGCGGGAUGACGGCCUUCGGGUUGUAAACCGCUUUCGCCUGUGACGAAGCGUGAGUGACAGUAAUGGGUAAAGAAGCACCGGCUAACUACGUGCCAGCAGCCGCGGUGAUACGUAGGGUGCGAGCGUUGUCCGGAUUUAUUGGGCGUAAAGGGCUCGUAGGUGGUUGAUCGCGUCGGAAGUGUAAUCUUGGGGCUUAACCCUGAGCGUGCUUUCGAUACGGGUUGACUUGAGGAAGGUAGGGGAGAAUGGAAUUCCUGGUGGAGCGGUGGAAUGCGCAGAUAUCAGGAGGAACACCAGUGGCGAAGGCGGUUCUCUGGGCCUUUCCUGACGCUGAGGAGCGAAAGCGUGGGGAGCGAACAGGCUUAGAUACCCUGGUAGUCCACGCUGUAAACGGUGGGUACUAGGUGUGGGGUCCAUUCCACGGGUUCCGUGCCGUAGCUAACGCUUUAAGUACCCCGCCUGGGGAGUACGGCCGCAAGGCUAAAACUCAAAGGAAUUGACGGGGCCCCGCACAAGCGGCGGAGCAUGCGGAUUAAUUCGAUGCAACGCGUAGAACCUUACCUGGGUUUGACAUGGAUCGGGAGUGCUCAGAGAUGGGUGUGCCUCUUUUGGGGUCGGUUCACAGGUGGUGCAUGGCUGUCGUCAGCUCGUGUCGUGAGAUGUUGGGUUAAGUCCCGCAACGAGCGCAACCCUUGUUCACUGUUGCCAGCACGUUAUGGUGGGGACUCAGUGGAGACCGCCGGGGUCAACUCGGAGGAAGGUGGGGAUGACGUCAAGUCAUCAUGCCCCUUAUGUCCAGGGCUUCACGCAUGCUACAAUGGCUGGUACAGAGAGUGGCGAGCCUGUGAGGGUGAGCGAAUCUCGGAAAGCCGGUCUCAGUUCGGAUUGGGGUCUGCAACUCGACCUCAUGAAGUCGGAGUCGCUAGUAAUCGCAGAUCAGCAACGCUGCGGUGAAUACGUUCCCGGG
rnacentral:rRNA from 1 species